GCUGGGCAUGGUGGCAUGCACCUAUAGUACCAGCUACUCAGGAGGCUGAAGCGGGAGGAUCACUUGAGCCUAGGAGUUCUGGGCUGUGGUGUGCUAUGCCAAUCAGGUGUCUGCACUAAGUUUGACAUCAAUAUGGUGACCUCCCAGGAGCAAGGGACCACCAGGUUGCCUAAGGAGGGAUGAAUUGGCCCAGGUUGGAAACGGAGCAGGGCAGCACUCCCUUGCUGAUCAGCAGUAGUGUUGUGCCUGUGAAUAGCCACUGCACUCUAGCCUGGGCAAUACAGCGAGACCCUGUCU
rnacentral:SRP_RNA from 10 species